UACGCGGGAUGCAAGCGUUAUCCGGAAUUAUUGGGCGUAAAGCGUUUGUAGGCGGGCGAGUGUGUUUAAUGUUAAAUCUUAAAGCUCAACUUUGAAAUUGCGUUAAAAACUGCUUGUCUUGAGUAUGGUAGGGGUAAAGGGAAUUCCCAGUGUAGCGGUGAAAUGCGUAGAUAUUGGGAAGAACACUAAACAGCGAAGGCACUUUACUAGGCUAAUACUGACGCUGAGAAACGAAAGGUAAGGUAGCGAAACGGAUUAGAUACCCGUGUAGUCUUACCCGUAAACUAUGGACACUAAACGGUAAAUUUUUAAUUUACUGUUAAAGCUAACGCGUUAAGUGUCCCGCCUGGGGAGUAUGCUUGCAAAAGUGAAACUCAAAGGAAUUGACGGGGGCCCGCACAAGCGGUGGAGCAUGUGGUUUAAUUCGACGGUACACGAAGAACCUUACCAGGAUUUGACAUGCUAGAUAGUUGCUUGAAAGAGUAACGUGCCGUAAGGAAUCUAGACACAGGUGGUGCAUGGCUGUCGUCAGUUCGUGUUGUGAAAUGUUGGGUUAAGUCCCGCAACGAACGCAACCCUUGUCUUUAGUUAUUUUCUAAAGAGACUGCCUGUAAUAAACAGGAGGAAGGUAAGGAUGAGGUCAAGUCAUCAUGCCCCUUAUGUCCUGGGCUACACACGUGCUACAAUGGGAAAGACAAUGAGCUGCAAAUCUGUAAAUUUAAGCAAAUCUCUUAAACUUUCUCGUAGUUCGGAUUGUGGGCUGCAACUCGCCCACAUGAAGUUGGAAUCGCUAGUAAUCGCCAGUCAGCUAUAUGGCGGUGAAUCCGUUCCCGGGCCU
rnacentral:rRNA from 1 species